rnacentral:tRNA from 1 species
CCGUGGGUGACUUAGUGGGUAGAGCCUAGGACUUACGACCGUAAGGUCCCGGGUUCAAAUCUCGCCAGAGGCA